GACGAACGCUGGCGGCGUGCUUAACACAUGCAAGUCGAACGGGCCUUGUCCCCUUUUUUUUGGGGGUGGGGUUAGUGGCGAACGGGUGAGUAACACGUGAGUAACCUGCCCCUCACUUCUGGAUAACCGCUUGAAAGGGUGGCUAAUACGGGGUGUUCUGGCCUGCUCGCAUGGGUGGGUUUGGAAAGAUUCGACCGGUUUUGGUUGUUUUGGUGGGGGAUGGGCUCGCGGCCUAUCAGCUUGUUGGUGGGGUGAUGGCCUGCCAAGGCUUUGACGGGUAGCCGGCCUGAGAGGGUGGGCGGUCACACUGGGACUGAGACACGGCCCAGACUCCUACGGGAGGCAGCAGUGGGGAAUAUUGCACAAUGGGCGCAAGCCUGAUGCAGCGACGCCGCGUGAGGGAUGGAGGCCUUCGGGUUGUGAACCUCUUUCGCCAGUGAAGAAGGUCCUGCUCUCUGUGGUGGGGUUGACGGUAGCUGGGUUAAUGAAGCGCCGGCUAACUACGUG
rnacentral:rRNA from 1 species